UCACAAUUCCAUUUAUCACACAUUCUAUAUCUAUAUUUGAAGCUAAUAAGGAAUCGAGUCUCCAUGUGGCUGAUGAAGGCAAAAUUUACCUGUUUACUGCCCUAUGAAUGUAGUUAACAGAGUAAGCAGUGUGUCCUCAGGUGAUGAACUGACAAGAUGGGAAGCGUUUGGUGUACAAGGAACACUGCUGAAUCAUUUUAUCCAACUGGUUUAUACCAGUAGUAUACUUGUUGGUGAGGGAAGCAGUGAUAGCAGAGGCUUAGAAAUACUUAUCAAGCAAUGCGGUCAUGCUCUCACUUCAAGACUUCCCACAAUCUACUUGGACAACAGACAUAUCAGUUUAGUACCUUCUGCAUGUCCACUUUCAAUGAACUUGGAUUGUAAAUCCCCGAGUCUGAAUUGAGCACAAGGGAACAUUCUUUGGAGACUGUGAAUGACCUAAUGGCCUAAGUGGAAAGAUCACUGAAAGCUCCCAUUUAAAAAGGGAUGUGUCCACAGUAAGUCAGCUUUUUAAGGCUGCAAUGCUGAAUCCAUUAACCUGCUUGCCAAAAAAGCUAAAAAAGAUUUCCUCAAAGCUAAUGCAUAUCAUGCAGCUAAAGGAUAUGUCCAGAUCCAAUCAAGUAGCUAAAACUGUUAAAAUCCUACU
rnacentral:lncRNA from 1 species